rnacentral:ncRNA from 1 species
GGUAACUGCCUCCGGAGGGAGGUGUUUUGCCGUAGAUGAUUUUUGCAUUUCAGUUAUCGCCCCACUUUUUGUGGGACUGGUAAUCGUACUAGUCGAUCAUUGGUUAGAUGACCGGCGGUAACUAGCAGUUACCACUGACCCACACACCUAAAACGUCGCUUUAGGUGAAAAA